rnacentral:rRNA from 1 species
AUUGAACGCUGGCGGCAUGCUUUACACAUGCAAGUCGAACGGUAACAGGCCUUCGGGCGCUGACGAGUGGCGAACGGGUGAGUAAUGCAUCGGAACGUGCCCAGUCGUGGGGGAUAACGCAGCGAAAGCUGUGCUAAUACCGCAUACGAUCUGCGGAUGAAAGCGGGGGACCGUCGGGCCCUGCGCGAUUGGAGCGGCCGAUGUCAGAUUAGGUAGUUGGUGGGGUAAAGGCUCACCAAGCCAACGAUCUGUAGCUGGUCUGAGAGGACGACCAGCCACACUGGGCCUGAGACACGGCCCAGACUCCUACGGGAGGCAGCAGUGGGGAAUUUUUGACAAUGGGCGCAAGCCUGAUCCAGCAAUGCCGCGUGCAGGAAGAAGGCCUUCGGGUUGUAAACUGCUUUUGUACGGAGCGAAAAGGCUCCCUCUAAUACAGGGGGCUCAUGACGGUACCGUAAGAAUAAGCACCGGCUAACUACGUGCCAGCCGCCGCAGUAAAAC